UACCACCAAGAAUUAACAGUAUUCUUUUUUUGUGAAAGAUUUUUUUAAUAAAAAAAAUUUUACUACUGUAAUUGCCACUUUAUUGUCUUAUAGAUCUUGCCAAAAUUACCCUGGCCAGUAUAUUAUAUAAAAGCAACUAUGCCCUAUUCUGGAAUUUCUGUUUCACUAGUAAAAUUACUUUUGACCUCCGAGUCACUAUAUUCUAAAGCUCUGUUGUUCUGAAUUUUCUUAGUGCUCCUCCCUCAAGACUAGUUCAUUAAAUCCUCAUGAUUUUCCCUUCACACAACCUUUCAUAGUGACUGCCCUUCAUAUAGCAAAUCCCAAAUCUUAUCACUUCAUGCAGAAGUUAUCCCAAUCUUUUUCUUAAUUGUCUCAAGAGUCUCCUAUAUCUAAUUAAGUUUUUAUGGUUUUAGAUUUACCUUCCUGAAAUACUUCAGUGAGAGUGUCUCUUGUCUGUUAAAAAUAAAAUCAAAUACACAUAAAAUGUUGUGACCAUAUUCUUCUGGCUAAUGGUCAAAAUUCUCCAAAAGAAAAUUUCUUCUUGCUACUAUGGGUAAAGAGCCUUGUGAUCCAGGCAGACUUAAACAAUCUCCAUUCUCUGAAGAUAUAUUUCUCUUAGUGAAACCAUUUUUUGGUCUCAUGUUGUCUACCUUAUAUCAAAUUCAAUCCUCAUAAUUCUUUUAAUAUCUACCCAUCCUGAAGGCUAGUUGACCUCCUCCAACUUGUUAGCUUUCUUGAUCACCCCAGAUCUUGUUAGUAUAUGACUUGGUACCGUUUUUGUGAGUCCUGUCACAUAGAGACAAAUCCCUUUAUUUCUUUCUGAUCUAAUUAUUAGAGGAGACUGAUUUAGGGGAAAAUACCUUGAAGUCUCCAUUCUCAUACAUUUCCCAGUUAACACUCAUCAUUCCUUAACUCAAAAUUUAAUCUUCCAUUUUUUUCAAUGUAAACCUGUAUUGAAAGCUAUCACAUUGACACAAAUGAUACAGUAUUUUGAAUAUUUGGUUCUCUAAAUUAUAUUUUCAUUAAUAAAGACAAGUAAGCUCCUUCUAAGAAAGUACUGCUUAACCAAAAAUACCUGUUAAGUUGUGAUCUUCUUUGAUGUUGAAAUUCCAUUGUGUUGCACAAUACAAUCCUAGGAAUGUGAGCUCCAAUGCAGCAUUGAAUCAUUACCAUAAAGAAGUGUUGCUAAUCCUACUGGCUGUAGCCCAGCUCCUUUAGUAAUUUUUCUUCAACAAAUCAAAAUGAAUAAUAAAUUGUAUUCACUGUGCUACUCAGCUCCCACAUAUCUCCACCCACCCAUCUUCUGUUCCAUAACCAAAAAAUAAACCUACAUGCACUUUUACAUAUCUUAUGGCAGAUUUUAUUUAGAAUUCUAUACCAGGAUACUUUUAUCAUUUCUCACAAGUAUGUUUAGGUGCCAAAAUAGUCCAUUUCUCUUAAAACUGGUCAGAAAAGCACUUUCCCACUGUAAGUUAAUUUGGUAUCACUCUAAAUGGUGUUGUUCACUCGAGAUAAUAUUACUAUUAUUAAUAUUAUAAUAUUAAUAUUAUUGAAAUUAUUAUUUUUUAAUUUCUUAGUAUUCAGGAAAAAUGCUAUAUUCCCUCCAAGAAGAGGGAAUAUAAAACAGGAGGUGAUUUACCAUGAGAAAGGUACUUUGAGUCACUUAAAUAUGUGGAAAAUAGAUAAUUCUCAGUAAUUCAAAGAUUUGAACCACUCAAACAGGUGUCUAAGAAGAGGAAGAAGAAUUAAGAACAUUUGGUCUUCACACAAUAGUGAAGUGUCAGGAAAUAAAUUAACACUAUUUCUCUAAAACAUAUUUCAAAAUAGUAGAGACCUUUGAGGAACCUAAAGUAUGAAAAAUAUCCUGCAGUAACCCUGGCAUGGAUAGAAAGCUUCUAGUUCACAGGUUAAUAAUAUCCAAAUCAGAAGAAGUUUCAAAAGAAAUACAUAUUUCUAUGUCAGCAUUGCUUAUUUUUCAUCUAAGUUUGCCCUGCCUGGUUAUUUAUCCUUUUAUAUGUACUUCUUAGCCAAUUUUCUUUUACACUCAUAGCUAUUUGGCAUAAAGUAAGUUGAGAACACAGGUGUUUGUGGGGAAUGAACUCAUCUACACAUACUGGAUGGUAUAGAACUUGUCUCCUUGGGAUCUGACACUUCUGUAUUUAUCAACCUGGUGGUGAGGCGCAUCAGUGUAAGCAUGCUUUCUCAUGGAUGUAUUUACUUUGAAAUAUCAUAUCAUGCCAAUCCAGUUUAAUAAUAGUCUUAGAAAUGAGCAGGAAAUCACUUUCUUUUGCCGAGAUUCAUUUAUAACUUCUAACUAUAACGUAACAAAGACAGAUGGAGAUUUAUAAUCCAAGAGCAGGAUGGGGUGAGUGGGUGGAAUUACUAAGAGAAGGUAUCAAAGAUAAGGUGUUUCUGGCUAAACCAGACUUCACAGGAUCAAUGCUACAGGUAGUCUAAGGUCAUCCAAUAUCAAAAGUGGUCAGGUAUGAAGGGUGCAGAUGUUCCCUAAAUUGACUUAAUAGAAUUCUUGCUCAAACUGGAUUCUGCAAGGACAGGGAAGGAAGUUUAAGGUGUGCUCUAGUCAAGCUGGGGACUCAGAGGAGCCUUAUUAAAGUUUAAGUCAAAAGGGAAUCUUUGUUAAGAUGUUUCCCUUAAACUCAAUACAAAUGAUUAACACAGUAUAGUAGAACUGAAUUUCAAGUUUCUAAGCCAACUUCGUUAUCUCUGUUCUAGAGAAUCAUUAAAACAAUUAACACCUCCAUUGGAGCUGGAGAUAUGACACUCUGUCUUUUAAGAAUGAUUAAUAGCCCAAGGCUUACAUACUUUCAGUUGAAUACAUAGUUAACUGAAAUAACACUGGUUAACUACAAUUAUAAUAAUAACUCAGGAUCAUUUUGUGGGCAUAUAUUGGGAAUGUAUUUAUCAUCUUGGUUUCAAUAACUUGCCAUCCACAUCUAUUCCAAAAAGGUCCCUUCCAGGGUUUACCUUAAAUCAGCAUAAUUAAAAUCCCCUAAAGGCUUAAAAAGUACCAAAUAUUUUAAUUAUUAAUUAAGCUAGUCAAUAAGAGUGAACAAGAAGCUCACUUUAAUUCAUGAAAGUUACAUUCUUUGGAAUAAAACUAGUCAUAGGGAUAAUGCAGAGAAAAUGGCCUAUAAUUAGCAAAUGAAGAAAAUGAAUAUUCAUUCUUUUGGUUACUUUAAUGGAGCUAGUCAUCACUUAUUUUAUUCUUUUAAACAUUUUGAAUGUUGAUAUGCCCCCAGAAGUUAAAAUCAUCAUAUAUGAUAAUGUCAAAUGAGCCUUCCUACCAAGGGUCAGACACACAGGUUCUAAAUCCCUUAGAUGGAAAUACUCAGAAAAAUCCUUCAGGUUUGAGAAAUCCAGAAACUGGUAGAUAAAGUGAAAAUGAUUUAGACUAAAUGAAUUUUUAUUACUCCUGUGGGAGGGAAACAAAAAUGAAUCAACUAUUUUAACAUGGCUUAAGGUUCAUUUAAAGAAUCUUCAUGAUUCAUCUGCAUUUAUUUUUUCUGUCACGAAACCACUCAUAAUACUGUUCCCAAAAGAAGAAACAGAAAUGAUAAUGAGAAGGACACCAGCAUAUAAAUAUAGUGACUGGAAAAACUAUUUUUAAGUUAACAAAGGCAUACAUUUUAGACAGUAAAGGUAAUCAAAAGUGGUGUGUGUGUGUGUGUGUGUGUGUGUGUGUGUGUAGAGAAAGAGGAAAAAUUUUUAUUUUCUUUUUGUCAAGAUUUUCAAUUUAUGGCAACCACAUAUGUUGCUUAGCUGGAGUCAAAUUCAUUUCUCAACUUUUAAGAUGGUAAGUUGCCUCUGAAAUAACCUGCAGCUUCUUAUAAAUAGAACCAUUGUAAAAUAUUUUUAAAGUUUAGAACGGAAAGUAUUUUUCUCUAGUUCAGUGAGUAGACUAAAAAUAUGUUACUUGUUUUUCAUUUGUUUUCUUUUCUUUUCCUUUUUCAGUCAUGUCAUUGAACCAGAAACAGAUUCAUUACCCCUGAUAAUUGUAGUCCUUGCAAAGUGUCUCACUUACCAAUUUGUCUCAACACAUUUAUUUACAAGCAGGUCAUAUGACAGGCCAUUAUAACAGAGAGGAUUGGCUGAACUGUGUAUCUGGCACAGAGCAACUGCGAAGAGGAAAAAGCCUCUUUUUUUGGUUUGGAUAUGAAGUGGUCUGCAAAGACUCAUGUGGUGAUGGCUUGGUCACCAAUGCUACGAUGGAGUUUUGGGGGAAAUGAUUGAAUCUUGAGGCCUCUGAUCUUAUCUGUGGAUUAAUCCACUGAUAGCUGAAUGAACUACUGGGAGGUGAUGGAAACUAUAAGAGGGUCUUACUAAGUUGCUUUGGGCCUCAUUAAGUUGUUGAGAUUGGCAUUGAAUUUGGAAUCCUUCUGCUUCAGCCUCCUGAGUUGCUAGGAUUACAGGCUUCUGAUGAACACAGAAUGUCAAUGACUCUGAAGACUGCAGUAGACCCCAUGCACAGGGAGAAACAAUGUUCUUAUUAUGGCUUGCCAGGCUCAUGCACAGAUAUCCAGUCAUUGAAAGCAUAUUGUUGCGACACUUGGUUAGAUUACUGGCUUUGAGUUUUCGGUGGACACAACAUCUUUAUUUUUAUGUGGUACUGAGGAUCGAACCCAGCGCCCCGCGCAUGCCAGGUGAGCUCCUUACCGCUUGAGCCACAUCCCCAGCCCCAUGAAUUGAUUCUUAUCACUGGCAGAGUGGGGUCUCAUUUACUCUUCACACAUUAACCAAAUUUCUGCUAUUUCCUGGUCUGGUAUAGGGUAAGAUUCAUGAUCUGGUUUAUAGGAUCUAAGGGUUGGAAAGACUGAGAACUCAUCUGGUUCAAUAUUCCAUCUCAAACAGGAAUCUAUAUAAUAAGAGCAAAAGCAAAGUGAAGACAUUUGAAUA